rnacentral:rRNA from 1 species
GACGUAGGGGGCCAGCGUUGCUCGGAAUUACUGGGCGUAAAGGGUUCGUAGGCGGUGCGGUAAGUCGGAAGUGAAAUCUCUGGGCUUAACUCAGAGGCUGCUUUCGAAACUGCCGCGCUAGAGUGCGGGAGAGGCGAGUGGAAUUGCGGGUGUAGCGGUGAAAUGCGUAGAUAUCCGCAGGAACAUCCGAGGCGAAAGCGGCUGGCUGGAUCGCAACUGACGCUGAGGAACGAAAGCUAGGGGAGCAAACAGG